GUGCUCACUUCGGCAGCACGUAUACUAAAAUAGGAACGAUACAGAGAAGAUUAGCAUGGCCCCGUGUAAAGAUGGCAUGCAAAGUCAUGAAGCGCUCAACAUUUUC